rnacentral:rRNA from 1 species
UACGAAGGGGGCUAGCGUUGUUCGGAAUUACUGGGCGUAAAGCGUGCGCAGGCGGCCUUCCAAGUCAGGGGUGAAAGCCCAGGGCUUAACCCUGGAAUUGCCUUUAAGACUGCAUCGCUAGAAUCGUGGAGAGGUGAGUGGAAUUCCGAGUGUAGAGGUGAAAUUCGUAGAUAUUCGGAAGAACACCAGUGGCGAAGGCGACUCACUGGACACGUAUUGACGCUGAGGUGCGAAAGCGUGGGGAGCAACAGG